rnacentral:sRNA from 1 species
CCUCCACCGGGUGAAACAAUGGAAGAAAGCGCUGGGCGAAGCAGCAGGUUUUGCAGGGUGGGAUGUUUCAAAUUACAGAAAUGAAAACUUUGUUGUGAAGGAAAUUGUUAGUGAAGUUUUGGAAAGACUAGAUAGAACAUACAUGUCUAUUACAGACUUUCCAGUUGGAUUGGAAUGUCGUGUGGAACAUUGUAUUGGCCUUCUAAGAAAGGAAACAAGAGGAGC